GAGGUCCAGCCUGCCCAGUGACUACAAGUUCAACGGCCGCGGUAUUUUGACCGUGCAAAGGUAGCGCAAUCACUUGUCUUUUAAAUAGAGACCUGUAUGAAUGGCUAAACGAGGGCUUAACUGUCUCCCCUUUCCAGUCAGUGAAAUUGAUCUGCCCGUGCAGAAGCGGACAUAAAAAUACAAGACGAGAAGACCCUUUGGAGCUUAAGGUACAAAACUCAACCACGUCAAGCAACUCAAUAAAAAGCAAAAACUUUGUGGAAUGUGAGAUUUUACCUUCGGUUGGGGCGACCACGGAGGAAAACAAAGCCUCCAAGUGGAUUGGGAAAACCUCCUAAAACCAAGAGAGACAUCUCUAAGCCACAGAACAUCUGACCAAACAUGAUCCGGCUACCCGAAGCCGAUCAACGAACCAAGUUACCCUAGGGAUAACAGCGCAAUCCUCUCCCAGAGUCCAUAUCGACGAGAGGGUUUACGACCUCGAUGUUGGAUCAGGACAUCCUAAUGGUGCAGCCGCUAUUAAGGG
rnacentral:rRNA from 1 species